rnacentral:tRNA from 1 species
GGAGGGUAGCGACCAGUGGCGGUCAAGCAGUCUUGAAAACUGUGCUAUGCUUCGGUAUAAGGGUUCGACUCCUUUACCCUCCU